AUUGAACGCUGGCGGCAGGCCUAACACAUGCAAGUCGAGCGGAGCGGCGGACGGGUGAGUAAUGCCUAGGAAUCUGCCUGGGAGUGGGGGAUAAGGUCCGGAACCGGGCGCUAAUACUGCUUACUAUCAGAUGCGCCUAGGUCGGAUUAGCUAGUUGGUGGGGUAAAGGCCUACCAAGGCGACGAUCCGUACCUGGUCUGAGAGGAUGAUCAGUCACACUGGAACUGAGACACGGUCCAGACUCCUACGGGAGGCAGCAGUGGGGAAUAUUGGACAAUGGGCGAAAGCCUGAUGCAGCCAUGCCGCGUGUGUGAAGAAGGUCUUCGGAUUGUAAAGCACUUUAAGUUGGGAGGCGUUACCAACAGAAUAAGCACCGGCUAACUUCGUGCCAGCAGCCGCGGUAAUUC
rnacentral:rRNA from 1 species